UCCUGGUUUCAGCCGUCAAUUCCGUAGUGCAUUGCAGUGUUUGUUGUAACAGACUGCAAGCAUUGCGGAACUGACGGCUAGAUCAGGGUUUCCGAC
rnacentral:pre_miRNA from 13 species